GGCUCGGUGGCCUAAUGGUAAGGCGUUGCUUUCCGGUACCCUGGAGCAUGGCAAAGAUUGUGGGUUCGAGUCCCAUCCGAGUCG
rnacentral:tRNA from 1 species